AUUGAACGCUGGCGGCAGGCCUAACACAUGCAAAUCGAGCGGAUGAAGGGAGCUUGCUCCUGGAUUCAGCGGCGGACGGGUGAGUAAUGCCUAGGAAUCUGCCUGGUAGUGGGGGAUAACGUCCGGAAACGGGCGCUAAUACCGCAUACGUCCUGAGGGAGAAAGUGGGGGAUCUUCGGAACUCACGCUAUCAGAUGAGCCUAGGUCGGAUUAGCUAGUUGGUGGGGUAAAGGCCUACCAAGGCGACGAUCCGUAGCUGGUCUGAGAGGAUGAUCAGUCACACUGGAACUGAGACACGGUCCAGACUCCUGCGGGAGGCAGCAGUGGGGAAUAUUGGACAAUGGGCGAAAGCCUGAUCCAGCCAUGCCGCGUGUGUGAAGAAGGUCUUCGGAUUGUAAAGCACUUUAAGUUGGGAGGAAGGGCAGUAAGUUAAUACCUUGCUGUUUUGACGUUACCAACAGAAUAAGCACCGGCUAACUUCGUG
rnacentral:rRNA from 1 species